rnacentral:lncRNA from 1 species
GGGGAACCGCGGGAGGUUUCUGUCCCGCGCACCCUGUGACUGAGAUGCUUUUCAGGUCUUAGCGCACGCCUUGUUUUUUGAAUAGUUGAGGGAAAAUUAGUAUGAAAUCAUGCAGCCCUGGGGGGCCGGAUCCUAGGAACUUUUUGUUUGGUUUUAACGUCUUAUCCUUUCGAUGAAAAGUUGAGGCACCACAGAUGGAGACUGGGGAGAGCUGACUUUGGGAACAAUUCUUACCCUUUGCCAACUUCUGCCAGUUUCCCCAGGAUCCCCUCUGCCGGCUCUGGAGGAGUGGGGUGUCCCAGCGGGUCUCAUCCUGGUCACCAGACACCGUAGAGGAGGAAAAAUGGUUUUCUCUCUGCUGUUUGUGACUCUGCCAACAUAAGGACGACAAAGACAAAAACUCUGAAGACAUUCACAGUCCAAUGGAAAAGAUGGCCAGGAAAUAUGGGUGUUAAAUCUACUGCCAGCGCUGGAGA